CACGGGGGGAGCAAGCGUUGUUCGGAAUCACUGGGCUUAAAGGGCGCGUAGGCGGGCUGUCAAGUCUGGGGUGAAAUGCCGCGGCUCAACCGUGGAACUGCCUUAGAUACUGACGGCCUCGAGGGAGGUAGGGGCGUGCGGAACUGUAGGUGGAGCGGUGAAAUGCGUUGAUAUCUACAGGAACUCCGGUGGCGAAAGCGGCGCGCUGGACCUCUUCUGACGCUGAGGCGCGAAAGCUAGGGGAGCAAACGGG
rnacentral:rRNA from 1 species